rnacentral:rRNA from 1 species
AUACGGAGGGUGCAAGUGUUACUCGGAAUCACUGGGCGGAAAGCGCGCGCAGGCGGUCUUUUAAGUUGGAUGUGAAAGCCUACGGCUCAACCGUAGAACUGCAUCCAAAACUAUUAGACUAGAGUGUGGGAGAGGAAGAUGGAAUUAGUUGUGUAGGGGUAAAAUCCGUAGAGAUAACUAGGAAUACCAAAAGCGAAGGCAAUCUUCUGGAACACUACUGACGAUGAGGCGCGAAAGCGUGGGGAGCAAACAGGAUUAGAAACCCUUGUAGUCC